GAUGAACGCUGGCGGCGUGCCUAAUACAUGCAAGUCGAGCGAACAGACGAGGAUCUUGCUCCUCUGACGUUAGCGGCGGACGGGUGAGUAACACGUGGAUAACCUACCUAUAAGACUGUGAUAACUUCGGGAAACCGGAGCUAAUACCGGAUAAUAUAUUUAACCGCAUGGUUCAAUAGUGAAAGACGGUUUUGCUGUCACUUAUAGAUGGAUCCGCGCCGCAUUAGCUAGUUGGUAAGGUAACGGCUUACCAAGGCAACGAUGCGUAGCCGACCUGAGAGGGGGAUGGGACCCACUGGAACGGAGCCACGGUCCAGACUCCUACGGGAGGCAGCAGUAGGGAAUCUUCCGCAAUGGGCGAAAGCCUGACGGAGCAACGCCGCGUGAGUGAUGAAGGUCUUCGGAUCGUAAAACUCUGUUAUUAGGGAAGAACAAAUGUGUAAGUAACUAUGCACGUCUUGACGGUACCUAAUCAGAAAGCCACGGCUAACUACGUG
rnacentral:rRNA from 1 species